AUCGAGUGUUUGUGACGCUCGUAGAUAUUUGGAUCAUUAGCAUAGUCUAGAAGAACAUCAGUCCAUCUCUCUAAUCAAGAAGCAUUGUACUCUUGAAUAUUCAUUCCAUAAGGUAUCCUCUCUGGAUAAUAAGACAUCUCAGAUCUUUCACUCAAACUCUGACUCUGAGAAGUAUCCUCGGGACGAUGGUAUGGCUGUGAAGGAGCCCAUCUAAAUAUGUCGGUAGUAAAAUCUGAUUCGUAAGAUGCUCUAGACUGUCUAGGAUAGUAACCACUAGAAGACGAUGUCUCAGAUGCAUUAUAUCCAUAUGGUUCAUAAGGUGGCUGC
rnacentral:lncRNA from 1 species